rnacentral:rRNA from 1 species
UACGUAGGGGGCUAGCGUUAUCCGGAAUUACUGGGCGUAAAGGGAGCGUAGGCGGACUUUUAAGUGAGAUGUGAAAUACUCGGGCUCAACUUGAGUGCUGCAUUUCAAACUGGAAGUCUAGAGUGCAGGAGAGGAGAAUGGAAUUCCUAGUGUAGCGGUGAAAUGCGUAGAGAUUAGGAAGAACACCAGUGGCGAAGGCGAUUCUCUGGACUGUAACUGACGCUGAGGCUCGAAAGCGUGGGGAGCAAACAGG